UACGGGGGGCGCGAGCGUUGUCCGGAAUCACUGGGCGUAAAGGGCGCGUAGGUGGUUUGAUAAGGGUGUGGUGAAAGUCCGGAGCUCAACUCCGGAUCUGCCGUGCCGACUGUCAAACUCGAGGGCUGUAGAGGCAGACGGAAUUCCGGGUGUAGCGGUGGAAUGCGUAGAGAUCCGGAGGAAGACCGGUGGCGAAGGCGGUCUGCUGGGCAGUUUCUGACACUGAGGCGCGACAGCGUGGGGAGCAAACAGG
rnacentral:rRNA from 1 species